GACAGAGGGGACAAGUGUUGCUCGGAAUUACUGGGCGUAAAGGGCGCGUAGGCGGGAUGGCAAGUCGGUCGUGAAAUCCUUCGGCUCAACCGAAGAACGUCGAUCGAUACUGCUGUUCUUGAGGGUUGCAGAGGAGACUGGAAUUCCCGGUGUAGCGGUGAAAUGUGUAGAGAUCGGGAGGAACACCGGUGGCGAAGGCGGGUCUCUGGGCAAUUCCUGACGCUGAGGCGCGAAAGCGUGGGGAGCAAACGGG
rnacentral:rRNA from 1 species